AGUAACUUCCCAGUCUGGCAUCUCAAGCAGCACCCCGGCAGGGACACUGUGCUGGCCCCCAGCCCCUGCACUAUCACCCGCUCCUGGUG